rnacentral:rRNA from 1 species
GAUGAACGCUAGCGGCAGGCUUAAUACAUGCAAGUCGAGGGGCAGCGCGGGUAGCAAUACCUGGCGGCGACCGGCAAACGGGUGCGGAACACGUACGCAACCUUCCUUUAAGCGGGGAAUAGCCCAGAGAAAUUUGGAUUAAUACCCCAUAAGAUAGUGCAGAAGCAUUUCUGAGCUAUUAAAGAUUUAUCACUUAGAGAUGGGCGUGCGGCUGA